ACUUCGGAAAGGAGGUGGUUCGGCAGAUGUACACAUACCGGACGGAAGAGGUGGCUGCGGGCCAGUAGCCCGUCGUCGUACUCGGUUCGGCGUCGGACCAGCGUGUGUGAUGCACGCGACCGGCCCAAUUCCACGCAGUCACCCGACCCGCGAGUCGCCGGUACGUCCGGCCGGCCCCUCCUUCGGAGGGCCGGACUCGCGGGUCGUUCGUG
rnacentral:sRNA from 1 species